CCAAUCACUAUUCCCCCCCCCCCCUCAAUCCACGAAGACUGUGCUCAGAGUAAACGAACUGAAGGAUUUGUAUGCCAAGAAGAUCUCUCUGUCUUCUGUAUAUACCCUGUAGAUCCGAAUUUGUGUAAGGAAUUUUGUGGUCACAAAUUC
ensembl:miRNA sha-mir-10a sha-mir-10a